UACGGAGGGUGCAAGCGUUAUCCGGAUUCACUGGGUUUAAAGGGUGCGUAGGCGGGCAGGUAAGUCAGUGGUGAGAUCCCCGGGCUUAACUUGGGAACUGCCGUUGAUACUAUCUGUCUUGAAUAUCGUGGAGGUGAGCGGAAUAUGUCAUGUAGCGGUGAAAUGCUUAGAUAUGACAUAGAACACCCAUUGCGAAGGCAGCUCACUACACGAUAAUUGACGCUGAGGCACGAAAGCGUGGGGAGCAAACAGG
rnacentral:rRNA from 1 species